CUCGUAGCUUGCUAUGAGAACAAUUAGUGGCAGACGGGUGAGUAAUGCAUAGGAAUCUACCUAGUAGUAUAGGAUAGCCACUAGAAGUGGUGGGUAAUACUGUAUAAUCCCUGCGGGGGAAAGAUUUAUCGCUACAUGAUGAGCCUAUGUUAGAUUAGCUAGUUGGUGGGGUAAUGGCCUACCAAGGCAGUGAUCUAUAGCUGGUCUGAGAGGAUGAUCAGCCACACUGGAACUGAGACACGGUCCAGACUCCUACGGGAGGCAGCAGUGGGGAAUGUUGGACAAUGGGCGCAAGCCUGAUCCAGCUAUGCCGCGUGAGUGAGGAAGGCCUUAGGGUUGUAAAACUCUUUCAGUGGGGAAGAUAAUGACGGUACCCACAGAAGAAGUCCCGGCAAACUCCGUGCCAGCAGCCGCGGUAAUACGGAGGGGGCAAGCGUUGUUCGGAAUUAUUGGGCGUAAAGGGCAUGUAGGUGGUUUGGUUAGUUAAAGGUGAAAUGCCAGGGCUUAACCCUGGAGCUGCUUUUAAUACUGCCAGACUGGAGUCCGGGAGA
rnacentral:rRNA from 1 species